GGUCGAGAGAGACAGAGCGAGCCUUCGUCUUGCCGCCGCCCACCUCGCCUUCCUCUCGCUGCCGCCCACCUCGCAGCUCACCGCCGGUCGGACCCUCUCCCCCCACCUCAGGCGGCUCAGCCCCGACCUCGCCGACACACACCUCGCAGCUCGCCUAGACCGACCCCACUGAGCACCCCACCCAGCCCUCUCGCAACCCCUUGCUGCAGCCACCAACGACGGCCGAUUCCGGUGAGCCCCGAGGUCUAUGGCUAGCGUGCAGCUCAGCCCCGACCUCGCCUCUCUGCGCUCCGUCUUCCCCUUCGGCAAAAUCUGCCGCACGCGGCCUCCAUCGCUCGUGCCCCACCCCUACCUGCGAAUAGGGUUUCAGGCACGGCGCCGCUUACGUUGCCAGCGCAGCUCUGGUGUCCAGCUCCUCCGGCAGCGUCCCGUCAUCCCCUCUCUGCGGCGGUUGUGCAUGGCAUCCCCAUGAUAUUUCGCAAGGAACCAUUUUUCUACGGCCAUGAAAACCAUCAUCAACUUGUUAGGAUUGCAAAGGUUCAAUGCAGGCCCAUCCAUACUUCCUCCAGGAGAGGGCUGCCGAAAAUAGCAGGACUUGUGCGCAAUAGCAAUAAUUAUCUUGAGAUUGAACGAGCAGCGCUUGACGAAGCUGAAUUAGUCUCAGUCUCCUUGCAUUGAGCACCCCUAGUAAGUAAAUUAGAUGAACCAUGAGCUUUAGUGUCUAUGAGUUGAUGUCAUUGUUGACCUUAGCCUACUUUAUUUCCCUCGGUUAGGUACUGCAAAUGGUAAAUGUAGCAAUACUUAUGGAAAAUCUUGUCAACACAAGCAGUCUUCUCA